rnacentral:rRNA from 2 species
UACGAAGGGGGCAAGCGUUGUUCGGAAUGACUGGGCGUAAAGGGCGCGUAGGCGGUUCGUUGCGUCAGAUGUGAAAGCCCCGGGCUCAACCUGGGAACUGCAUUUGAUACGGGCGGGCUUGAAUCCAAGAGAGGGUGGUGGAAUUCCCAGUGUAGAGGUGAAAUUCGUAGAUAUUGGGAAGAACACCAGUGGCGAAGGCGGCCACCUGGCUUGGUAUUGACGCUGAGGCGCGAAAGCGUGGGGAGCAAACAGG